rfam:Ictidomys tridecemlineatus contig095387, whole genome shotgun sequence.
GGGGGUGUGGCUCAGGGACAGAGCACUUGCCUGGCAGGUGUGAGGCCCUGGGUUCCAUCCCCAGCACACACA